AGCCUGGCCUUGAAUACCUCCAGGGACAGGGCAUCCACAACCUCCUUGGGCAGCCUGUUCCAGUGCAUCACCACCCUCUGUGUGAAAAACUUCCUCCUAAUAUCUAACAUACAUCUUCCCUGUCUCAGCUGUCAAGUAGGCCCAAUAAUAUUUUCCAUAUAGUGGAACUAUAGGAUUGACCUUUUGUAGUUCUCAGGUAAAAAGGGCUUGCUGUGAUAUUAAAUCAUGAUAACUGUCUUGACAUAGAAGUUUCUCAGGCAAGGAGCAAGAAUUUCUUGAUAUCCUCAUUCCUAAGGUUGCAAAUAAACCCAGAUAAAUAUCCUGGUAAUUCAGUCUCAAGAAAAAUAAGUGUAACAGAUGACUUGACCAUUUCUACAGGCUUAAUUAUGCAAGCUGAGAAAGUUUCAGAUUUUUUUAAACUGGAAGUUAUUAUGAAAAUGUAAGUAUAGGACUAAUAUUCAGAAAAAAAAAAAGAGGUAAUACAAUUCACAGCAGAAAACUGAUAUGCUCUGUGUUUGAGAGGCUUCUCACAAAGUCAAAGCUUCAUUUGACUUGUUCUUGUCUGUGAAUCUUUGGAGCUUGUGUUGAACUGCAGUUUAGAAGAGAUAUGAGCAUCAAGAUCAAAGAAGUGAGACAGCCUUGGAAUCAGCAGUGGAACAAUAAAAUAUCUGCUAAAUUAUCCCUUUCUCCACCUCAAAUAAUCGUACGUCUUUUUUCCUGCAGACUUAUUAAUGAGUCUUAUAUUGACUCUGUAGAAUCUCUCCUUUAAAAAAUAAGAAAUCAUUGCCUUUAAUUAACCUCUUGAGCACCUCUCUGAGCUUUCUUCAAAAGAUCAGACUUUUACAUGCACACAAAAACAACAAUAUCUGAACUUGCCCUGGAUAGAAUAACAAACAGAAGUAAUAUUAUAGGCUGUAUCAGUAAAAGAAAGAUUUUGACUGUGUCACUGAAGGCUUUUGUUCAGCUUUUUCUGAAUCACUGUUUGGUAUCAGUGAGAGGACAGGAACACUCAGCUAGCCACUAAUUGUCCAAAUGCUUCUGCAACCACAGGUGGGAAAAAGAUAACUUUUCAACAUGUCCUGCUGUAAACUGUAAACUGACACACAACUGUACCUUUCAGUUCAUUAUAUAGUGCCUUCUCCAUUUCAUUUUAAAGUGAUAAGACACAGAUACUUUCCACUGUUAUUUACAAGUUACUUUCAUAUGAAGGGUGAGGAUUUUUUUUCUUUUUUUCCUAACUGGCUGGAUGAAGCCUUAUUUCCCUUUUCUGAAUUUUCUGAGACAUCCAAUCUCCCUUGUUAUUAACUGAAAAUCAUGCAAACAAACCACAUGCAUUUAUCCAGGCUGCCAUCCAACCGAAUUCUCCCAAGUUUCCUGUUUCUCAGCCCUUUACUUUAAACUGUAGACCACACUGACUAGUCCAAAAUCUAUUUAAAAAAAUCACUUAUUUAUAAGUAAGGUUUAGAGUAGUUGUAGGAUUUUGAAAAUCCCAGGUAUGAAAAUCAAUAGCCAACAUUCUGUUUUGGUCUUUUGUAAAUUUCAGAGCCAUUUGCAAAUGUAAUCCAGGUUUUCCUCAUACAAAUUUUAUUUGGGAUAUGUACAAACAGACAUUUUGAGCUAGCUUGUCCUCUGUUCAAAGUAAGAAAAAACGUUAAAUUUGGCACUGUAGAUUUUUGGAGGAAAGUAGUAGUUCAGACAGAAUAUUAUAUAGUAAAUUCUUAUUGAAUAUCUUGUUAUGUUCUGAAAGUUACUUGGAGAUUGUUGAUAUUGGUAAUAUUUACAGUAAGAAUUCAGUCUUUCUACCUGAAUUCCAUAAAAGAUGAGAAUCUUUCCUUUCAGCCAUCACUUCAUUAUUGCUCAGGGGAUCAUGAGAAACAUAACUGCUCCUUUGGAUGAUUUUGUUAUUGUUUUUGUUAAUUAAAAAUCAAUAUUUAAUUCUUGCAACACAAACCACUUUCAUUUUCAGUACUGAUUCUUCCAGAUCUGCCGUUAUUCCUGAGGUAUUCUCUAUGAACAAAACAUCAAUAGGGAUCUUCACCUUCCAUGUAACACACACAAGUGUCUUGUUGUUUAAACAGAAUUCAGAUCUGUGGGUGUUUUUCUAGAUUUUUCAAAAAAAUGUGGCAGAUGCAGGAAGUCCUGGUAUCAGUGGCUCAACAGGUGAGCACUGCUCUCUGGUUUGAGACUGGACUAGACAUCCUCUAAAAGAGGUCUGGAGGCUGACCCUUCGCACAACUGAAUUUCUGUUAAGCUUGCACAAGAAUAGUGGUGUUUCCCCACUCUCUUUCAAAAUACUAGUUUGCGCAAGUCUGUUUCCCAUCUUUAUACCUGAGCAGCACUCUCCAGGCAAGGGAUGCAGUCCUGCUGAUCGCAAGUUAAGUCCUGGCACUGUGGACUUUCACGUGAAGCUCGGGCACGGGCCAGCUGUCACUGCAUUUCUGUAGCAGGUGGUGCAAGGACAACUGCUUAUACGGUGGUUAUUGAGGCCAGUUUGGUAAUGCUGCGUGUAAUGCUGCCUGAGUGUCAUGCCUGCUGCUGAGAGUUAUGUGGAGGAGAGGUCAGAGCAGGUGGCAUUGGCAUAACCCUGACCCAAAACUGGGUAAACAGUGCAUUAAAAUGUGUUGCCAGCCUAGAGGAGACCUACCACGUAUAUAGCCCAUGGCAUGAAAAUAAGCAGUACUACGAAGACCUGUGAUCACAUAUAAUGACCCAAGUACCGCUGUUUAUCUUGUGGGCCUUCUAUUUGUAAGUUCUACAAGUUUUGUUAUUUUUUUACUAACUUUUGUAAAACAGCCUGACAGUCCUUCUUGUUAUUGCUUUUUUAAUUCCGGGCACAACAUACUCAAAUGUGACAUUCCUUUACUCUUUACCCUCAAACAUAUUUGCAUGCUUAUACAUCAAAAGAUGACGCAAGCUCUUCCUACAUGGAGGUACUGAUUUUCAAAGGAGUUCUGCUGUUUUGAAGGUAGCUUCACACAUGACCAGAUUUCUGGAACAGUCUGAGAUGAAAGUUUUGUGUGUUGGUGAUAAAUGGGACUGAGAUUCUGACAUUACAGAUUUGGAGGCUUACAGAGUGCACAGGAUCAAAGCAGCUGAAGGCUUGGUUUACUGCUGUAUCAAACAGACACUAAACCACAAUCCAAAAUCCUAUCACAGUAGUCUCUGGAUGUGGUCCUUCUCUGGCUAGUGCACUGCCAGCCCUUUCUGGGCUCAGGAGUUUGUCCUAAACUGCAGCUCAGGACAUAGAGAAAUCUCAUCAGUUGUGUUAAAUCCUUCAUGUGGGGUUGUUAUUUUUUUCUUAAUGAAGAGAUAAAAGUGAAACUUACACCUGAAAAACAAAAAGAAUUUUCCUGUAUUAACCAGGAUCUGAUCUAUCUUCUGCUGUUUUUAGUAAGUAAAAAGCUAUGUGCAUGCAUUACUUCAAUCAAAUGAGACAUCCCCAGGUAGAAUCAUAGUACAUCCUGUGUUGAAAUGGACCCAUGAGGAUCAUUGAGUCCCUCUAGUACUACAAGGUCUUUUACAAGGUACUCGAGGUACUUUGAUGUACUAGUGUUAUAAGUUUAUCUUGUUACACCGGACAGCACUGUGCUGCUCACCCGCAGAAGGGCACAUUUCUUGUUGCCAGCCAUUUUUAUACUCAAGCUGGAAAAAAAAUGACUGUUGAAUGUUGCUGUUGGCUAGGCUAAUUAUGAUUUUUCAAGACAGAAAGAAUUUUUUUAAAGAAUGUGGAUUUGCACAGCAAAGUAUCAACAACAGCAUUAACAAGGCUGAAAAGGGAAGGCACUGAGGCAUCUUUGUAAAUCAAAACCCUAACUCUGCAAACUUACUCUGGUCUGUUUGGCACCAUAUGGAGAAAGAAAUAACAUGCCCAUUGCAUCCAGAGCUCAGAUUUUUUCCUGUUUAAUAAUAGUUUCAUUUCAGAGGAAGCUCUCCUGCCUUACUUAAUUUACCAACUAAUUGCUAAUUACUAAAUUAAACCUGAGGCAGGUGUAAAUUUACACUACCCCUGACACAGCAGGUACAAAAGGACUCAGAUUCCCAUCCUAGUGCUUCUAGCAGAGUAUAGCUAAGGGCCUGGUUGUAGAGCUGUUUCUUUAGAGACAUACAAGAGGAGUCUUUAUUUCUGAGUAUCUUUCUAUAUAGAAGUUCUGAAUGCAGUAUAAGUGUGCUGAAACUUGGUGAUCUGCUUUAGGGUCUUCUGACCAUUGGCUUACCCAUGAACAAUUUAGUGAGGAAAAAGACAGGAAAGUUUGCAAGAAAACAGGAUAUUUGCCCCUGAAGAGGUUGUCUGCUACUUAUUUCCCACACAAACUUCCUGCUGUUGCUACUUUGGAAACUACUGUCUGAUCUACUGGAGUCGCAGGCCUUUAACUCCAUCACUGGUCACAAUAUUCCCCAGACCUGGGCCUUUAAAAUGACUUUGCCAUCUGGUAUCGCUCCUACCCCUACUUCCAUGAGCAUCCACUGACUGAGGCACUUAUCAGGCUCACUCUUGCUCAUCUUUCCCUUUAACAGACAUUUUGUUUUCCCAUUUCUCAAGUUUCCCCUCUCCUCUCAUGCUGAUCUU